CGCAAGAGGGCAAACCCAGUGCUUGCACUGGGGGUUGUAGGACUGCAAUGUGCAAGAGCUGAGUUUAGCAGAACAUUCUGGAAAGUAUAGCCAUAGAGGGUGAUAGUCCCGUAUGCGAAAAACAAAGCUUAGCUAGCAGUAUCCUGAGUAGGGCGGGACACGAGGAAUCCUGUCUGAAUCCGGGUCGACCACGAUCCAACCCUAAAUACUAAUACCAGAUCGAUAGUGCACAAGUACCGUGAGGGAAAGGUGAAAAGAACUGAGGUGAUCAGAGUGAAAUAGAACCUGAAACCAUUUGCUUACAAUCAUUCAGAGCACUAUGUAGCAAUACAGUGUGAUGGACUGCCUUUUGCAUAAUGAGCCUGCGAGUUGUGGUGUCUGGCAAGGUUAAGCAAACGCGAAGCCGUAGCGAAAGCGAGUCUGAAUAGGGCGCUUAGUCAGAUGCUGCAGACCCGAAACGAAGUGAUCUAUCCAUGAGCAAGUUGAAGCUAGUGUAAGAACUAGUGGAGGACUGAACCCAUAGGCGUUGAAAAGCCCCGGGAUGACUUGUGGAUAGGGGUGAAAGGCCAAUCAAACUUCGUGAUAGCUGGUUCUCUCCGAAAUAUAUUUAGGUAUAGCGUUGUGUCGUAAUAUAAGGGGGUAGAGCACUGAAUGGGCUAGGGCAUACACCAAUGUACCAAACCCUAUCAAACUCCGAAUACCUUAUAUGUAAUCACAGCAGUCAGGCGGCGAGUGAUAAAAUCCGUCGUCAAGAGGGAAACAACCCAGACUACCAGCUAAGGUCCCUAAAUCUUACUUAAGUGGAAAACGAUGUGAAGUUACUUAAACAACCAGGAGGUUGGCUUAGAAGCAGCCAUCCUUUAAAGAAAGCG
rnacentral:rRNA from 1 species